UACGGGGGGGGCAAGCGUUGUUCGGAAUUACUGGGCGUAAAGGGCUCGUAGGUUGCCAACUAAGUCAGACGUGAAAUCCCUCGGCUUAACCGGGGAACUGCGUCUGAUACUGGAUGGCUUGAGUUCGGGAGAGGGAUGCGGAAUUCCAGGUGUAGCGGUGAAAUGCGUAGAUAUCUGGAGGAACACCGGUGGCGAAGGCGGCAUCCUGGACCGGCACUGACACUGAGGAGCGAAAGCCAGGGGAGCAAACGGG
rnacentral:rRNA from 1 species